GUGGCGGCGGCGGCAGUAGCAGCGGCAGCGGUAGCAGCGGCAGCAGCAGCUUGGUCCUCUGACUCUCUUCGGUGACGGGUAUUCUUGGGUGGAUAAUACGGAUUACGUUGUUAUUGCUUAAGAAUACGCGUAGUCGAGGAGAGUACCAGCGGCAGGCGGGCAGCGGCCGCCCCUUCAGCCCACCAGCUGGCCUCUAAACGCCUGUGGUUGCCAAGGUAGCACUUUUUUGAUCUUUUCCUUUCCUCGUUGUUUUCGCUCUGGGUCGCGUGUUAGUUGAUUAGUAGACACAUCCCACCAGAAAGGCUCUGCGCGCCCUGCCUCUGGUGACUGGGGCUGUAGAAUGGGUCCGCACAGGGGCGCGGGGGUCGAGGAGGAGGGGAGGGGCGGGGAAAGGAUGGGUGUCUGCUCAGCGGAGCCUGCGCGGAGUUUUGGCGUCCCCGGCCUGCUCUUUUCCUCUCCUCGCUGGGGUGUGGCUUGGGGGAGAGACGGGGACUGAGCGAGCCUCUAAAGUUGGGAAUGACUGAAAGGCCUUGAGCAGUUUGGCAGCUUCGCGAGCGAGAAGCAGGAGCUCCGCAGAGGGUCGCUAGGGGCUGCCUCCGCAGAAAGGGCGUGUCCGUGGGCGAAGGUGCCCCCGCAAGCUGCGGAAGCUCGUGACUUCGCGAAUCCCGGCCCGGGGCGGUGCCGGAGCCCCACCCCCGCGGCGGUGCCACUGCGCAGCUAGACGUGGAGACCCGGGCUGGGCACUGGGGGUGGGGGAGUGGGGGGGAGGGGGGGAGAAUGACAGAGGCCUGGGUCCGCGCAGAACUUCCAGAUUGGAAGCGUGUGGCGGGUCUCCUGAGGGACCCAUACUUUCUUUGCGGAUUCUCCGCGAAGGGGUGGAGAAACAGAAUGAGAAGCGGAUUGGUUGCGGUGUGGCACAGAGCUGGAACCUUCCUGAAAGUGGUUGGGGCAGGCAGUGACUGUUCAGCCGUCCAGUUUCUUUGGGACACCUCUUCAGCGCUGUCUUCCCUGCCUCUGCUUUUAGGACGAGUCUCAAACACCAACAAACCCAAGGCAUGUUCCCCCUCUCAGGUCUGCUGCGAAGGGACGAGAGGAAGAGCGAGCCUUUCCCUUUUACCACUUGCAGUUUUGUUUGUUUGUUUCGAAUACUAAUGGACGAUAAAACCAUACGGAUGUGCCCCCUCCUAGUGAAGAGCAAGCAACUACCCACCGAUCCCCCCCCAAGCACGCCCAGACACUCCCGGGGACAACCGGAUAUGGCAGGAGUUGAGAUGCCCAAGAUGGAGCUGGGAGAGUUGAUCCACCAUACAGGAGGAGGAGGGUCGAGGAGGCUGGAGCUCUCAGCUCUUGCCGGCAGCGGACCACGCAGCUCUGCACCUCUCCUUUCCUCCUUGCGAGGCGCCAGGGCCCUCCCGGUCGUGGCACUUCAAAGGUAGGAGGAGAAAAUGCUGGGGACAAGAAUACACAGGCGGCCAGAAGGUUCCACUAGGGUCAGCAAGAGCCUGCUGGGACUCUAAAUCCAGGUUUCCUCCCUGCGUGGUGCCGUCGGUGGUGCAAGGGAUGCGAAGACUGAAUUUCUGAGAAGUCGAAGCUGCAGGAGAAAACAAACAAAAACAACAAAAUGGGAAGCCUGCGACGCUCUCUCGCGCGGCGUUCCCAGACCAGCUCUAAGCUAAGCUACGCCCCAGACACCUUUUCCCUUUGGAGGACGCCUUUCCUGGGCGCGACGUGCACGUACCCGCACUGAGUUCUUGCCCACAAGGGCAGCUCUGAGCCCUGGAGAGCGAGGUGCUUCGAAGAAGGCAGGCACACUCGCAUGCUUUCCCAUGUAGAGCUUUGCGUUUCUUUUAGUACUUUGGAUUCCUAGUGAGGGGUACAAGGCGCCACUCCUCUCCUGACCCUAUUUCCACUACACCGCGUCUGAUCCCACAGUUACUCGCGGGGUAUCUACACUCACAGCUUUUGCGCUCAGGGA
rnacentral:lncRNA from 1 species